AAUGAGGGAUUCUUGAGGGGUCAAAAGCACCUACUUAAGAGUAUUAGUCGACGAAAACCUGCUCAUGGACAUGCUCAUCAACCGGUACAAAAACCUCACGGACAAAACUCAUCUGUGGGUGCCUGUGUUGAGGUUGGGAAAUUUGGGCUGGAGGAAGAGGUUGAGAGGCUUAAGAGGGACAAGAAUGUGCUUAUGCAAGAACUUGUUAG
rnacentral:misc_RNA from 1 species